CCUACGGGUGGCAGCAGUGGGGGAUAGUGCACAAUGGAGGAAACUCUGAUGCAGCGACGCCGCGUGAGGGAAGACGGUCUUCGGAUGGUAAACCUCUGUCUUUGGGGAAGAAAAUGACGGUACCCAAAGAGGAAGCUCCGGCGAACGACGUGCCAGCAGCCGCGGUAAUACGUCGGGAGCGAGCGUUGUCCGGAAUGACUGGGUGUAAAGGGAGCGUAGGCGGGCGAGAAAGUUGAAUGUUAAAUCUACCGGCUGAACUGGUAGCUGCGUUCCAAACUUCUUGUCUUGAGUGAAGUAGAGGCAGGCUGAAUUCCUUGUGUAGCGGUUACCUGCGUCGAUAUUAGGCG
rnacentral:rRNA from 1 species